AGGAAGUAUUUCGAUUUAACCAUAAUAAUUUGAACAUUUCAAAUACUGAUUAAUCCAAUGAUAUACUGAACAGAAUAGAUGAAUAAAUAUUUCAUUAUGUUAAAGACCAUACAUCUAUGAGUCAUGCAACAUCCAAUGUAAUGCAGAGAACACAUGACAUGUUCGAUUAUAGAGUUCUAGGAUUUUUGAUACUUGGUUUCCGAGGUACAGCUAAUAACAUUAAUGGUACAAAUUUUUCAACACCAGUUGCGCAUAUCGAUAAUCACUGUCUCUUCAAUGAUAUUCGAGGUUAAAAUAUUUGAAAAUGCAGAACUUAUCAACAACAAAAUAAGAUCUUAUAAAUCAAAAACGAAAAAGGAAUUAUAGACAAAGCCGGACAAAGAAUCGGAGCUUUGCAUGAGGGAGAUAUAUUCCUUAAGGAUGUUCGCUCCUCUUGCUUUUGAAUUUUUGCCAG